AGACGGAGGGCGCAAGCGUUGUUCGGAAUUACUGGGCGUAAAGGGCGGGCAGGCGGUCCGUUAAGUCGUUUGUGAAAAUCCGGGGCUCAACCCCGUGAAAUGCAGGCGAUACUGGCAGACUGGAGACCGGUAGAGGCUAGCGGAAUUCCUGGUGUAGCGGUGGAAUGCGUAGAUAUCAGGAAGAACACCUGUGGCGAAGGCGGCUAGCUGGGCCGGGUCUGACGCUGAACCGCGAAAGCGUGGGGAGCAAACAGGAUUAGAAACCCCGGUAGUCC
rnacentral:rRNA from 1 species